rnacentral:sRNA from 1 species
GCAAUAGAAAGGCUUAUAUGGGCGGUCGGCUAAUCUCCCGGAAGGGAGGUGAUGCUACGUGGAAGUAUAUCAAACUCUGAUGUUGAUGAUUUCGUUCGCAACGUUGGUGAUUCUGAUUCUUUCUUUCCACAAAAAGAAAUAGACCGCCCUCUGCAAGGGUAGCGGUCUAUUCAUGUGGCCCUAUUCCGAAAGCCAACCGCCCUUAAAAGCGGCUAUUGCAUCGGGAGUCGUGUUAGCGCACGGCUC